rnacentral:rRNA from 1 species
GCAGUCGAGCGGAUGAAGGGAGCUUGCUCCUGGAUUAGCGGCGGACGGGUGAGUAAUGCCUAGGAAUCUGCCUGGUAGUGGGGGAUAACGUCCGGAAACGGGCGCUAAUACCGCAUACGUCCUGAGGGAGAAAGUGGGGGAUCUUCGGACCUCACGCUAUCAGAUGAGCCUAGGUCGGAUUAGCUAGUUGGUGGGGUAAAGGCCUACCAAGGCGACGAUCCGUAACUGGUCUGAGAGGAUGAUCAGUCACACUGGAACUGAGACACGGUCCAGACUCCUACGGGAGGCAGCAGUGGGGAAUAUUGGACAAUGGGCGAAAGCCUGAUCCAGCCAUGCCGCGUGUGUGAAGAAGGUCUUCGGAUUGUAAAGCACUUUAAGUUGGGAGGAAGGGCAGUAAGUUAAUACCUUGCUGUUUUGACGUUACCAACAGAAUAAGCACCGGCUAACUUCGUGCCAGCAGCCGCGGUAAUACGAAGGGUGCAAGCGUUAAUCGGAAUUACUGGGCGUAAAGCGCGCGUAGGUGGUUCAGCAAGUUGGAUGUGAAAUCCCCGGGCUCAUCCUGGGAACUGCGUCCUACACUACUGAGCUAGAUUACGGUUUAGGGGGGCGGAAUUUCCUGUGU